rnacentral:rRNA from 1 species
UACGUAGGGUGCAAGCGUUGUCCGGAAUCAUUGGGCGUAAAGCGCGCGUAGGUGGCUUCGUAAGUCCGUUGUGAAAGUCAAAGGCUCAACCUUUGAAUGUCAGCGGAUACUGCCGGGCUAGAGUCCGGAAGAGGCGAGUGGAAUUCCUGGUGUAGCGGUGGAAUGCGCAGAUAUCAGGAGGAACACCAACGGCGAAGGCAGCUCGCUGGGACGGUACUGACGCUGAGGCGCGAAAGCGUGGGGAGCGAACAGG